rnacentral:rRNA from 1 species
GAGUUUGAUCCUGGCUCAGAUUGAACGCUGGCGGCAGGCCUAACACAUGCAAGUCGAGCGGUAGAGAGAAGCUUGCUUCUCUUGAGAGCGGCGGACGGGUGAGUAAUGCCUAGGAAUCUGCCUGGUAGUGGGGGAUAACGCUCGGAAACGGACGCUAAUACCGCAUACGUCCUACGGGAGAAAGCAGGGGACCUUCGGGCCUUGCGCUAUCAGAUGAGCCUAGGUCGGAUUAGCUAGUUGGUGAGGUAAUGGCCUCACCAAGGCGACGAUCCGUAACUGGUCUGAGAGGAUGAUCAGUCACACUGGAACUGAGACACGGUCCAGACUCCUACGGGAGGCAGCAGUGGGGAAUAUUGGACAAUGGGCGAAAGCCUGAUCCAGCCAUGCCGCGUGUGUGAAGAAGGUCUUCGGAUUGUAAAGCACUUUAAGUUGGUAGGAAGGGCAGUAAAUUAAUAACUUGUCUGUUUGUACGUUACCG